rnacentral:rRNA from 1 species
UACAGAGGGUGCGAGCGUUAAUCGGAAUUACUGGGCGUAAAGCGUGCGUAGACGGUUAUUUAAGUCGGGUGUGAAAGCCCCGGGCUCAACCUGGGAAUUGCAUUCGAGACUGAACAGCUAGGGUACGGUAGAGGGAAGUGGAAUUCCUGGUGUAGCGGUGAAAUGCGCAGAUAUCAGGAGGAACACCAGCGGCGAAGGCGGCGCUCUGGGCCGGUACUGACGCUGAGGAGCGAAAGCGUGGGUAGCAAACAGG